GAUGAACGCUGACAGAAUGCUUAACACAUGCAAGUCAACUUGAACUUCGGUUUGGGUGGCGGACGGGUGAGUAACGCGUAAAGAACUUGCCUCACAGAUAGGGACAACAUUUGGAAACGAAUGCUAAUACCUGAUAUUAUGAUUAUAUGGCAUCGUAUAAUUAUGAAAGCUAUAUGCGCUGUGAGAGGGCUUUGCGUCCCAUUAGCUAGUUGGAGAGGUAACGGCUCACCAAGGCGAUGAUGGGUAGCCGGCCUGAGAGGGUGAUCGGCCACAAGGGGACUGGGACACGGCCCUUACUCCUACGGGAGGCAGCAGUGGGGAAUAUUGGACAAUGGACCAAGAGUCUGAUCCAGCAAUUCUGUGUGCACGAUGAAGUUUUUCGGAAUGUAAAGUGCUUUCAGUUGGGAAGAAAAAAAUGACGGUACCAACAGAAGAAGUGACGGCUAAAUACGUG
rnacentral:rRNA from 1 species